rnacentral:rRNA from 1 species
AACGAACGCUGGCGGGCAGGCUUAACACAUGCAAGUCGAACGGUUGUAGCAAUACAGCAGUGGCAGACGGGUGAGUAACGCGUGGGAACCUACCCUUCGGUACGGAAUAACUCAGGGAAACUUGUGCUAAUACCGUAUACGUCCUUCGGGAGAAAGAUUUAUCGCCGAUUGAGGGGCCCGCGUUGGAUUAGCUAGUUGGUGGGGUAAAGGCCUACCAAGGCGACGAUCCAUAGCUGGUCUGAGAGGAUGACCAGCCACACUGGGACUGAGACACGGCCCAGACUCCUACGGGAGGCAGCAGUGGGGAAUCUUGGACAAUGGGCGAAAGCCUGAUCCAGCCAUGCCGCGUGUGUGAUGAAGGCCUUAGGGUUGUAAAGCACUUUCGCCAGGGAAGAUAAUGACGGUACCUGGAUAAGAAGCCCCGGCUAACUCCGUG